rnacentral:rRNA from 1 species
CACGGUUGAUUAGUGGCGAACGGGUGAGUAACACGUGAGUAACCUGCCCCUCACUUUGGGAUAACUCCGGGAAACCGGGGCUAAUACUGGAUAUGAGCCUUCCUCGCAUGGGGUUGGUUGGAAAGGGUUUCUGGUGGGGGAUGGGCUCGCGGCCUAUCAGCUUGUUGGUGGGGUGAUGGCCUACCAAGGCUUCGACGGGUAGCCGGCCUGAGAGGGCGACCGGCCACAUUGGGACUGAGAUACGGCCCAG